UACGUAGGGUGCGAGCGUUGUCCGGAAUUAUUGGGCGUAAAGAGCUUGUAGGCGGUUUGUCGCGUCUGCCGUGAAAAUCCGGGGCUCAACUCCGGACUUGCGGUGGGUACGGGCAGACUAGAGUGUGGUAGGGGAGACUGGAAUUCCUGGUGUAGCGGUGAAAUGCGCAGAUAUCAGGAGGAACACCGAUGGCGAAGGCAGGUCUCUGGGCUACUACUGACGCUGAGAAGCGAAAGCGUGGGGAGCGAACAGGAUUAGAUACCCUGGUAGUCCACGCCGUAAACGUUGGGAACUAGGUGUGGGUCUCAUUCCACGAGAUCCGUGCCGAAGCUAACGCGUUAAGUUCGCCGCCUGGGGUGUACGGUCGCAAGACUGAA
rnacentral:rRNA from 1 species